AACGAACGCUGGCGGCAUGCCUAACACAUGCAAGUCGAACGAGACCUUCGUGUCUAGUGGCGCACGGGUGCGUAACGCGUGGGAACCUGCCCUUAGGUUCGGAAUAACUCCCCGAAAGGGGUGCUAAUACCGGAUAAUUUCUUCGGACCAAAGAUUUAUCGACUUUGGAUGGGCCCGCGUUGGAUUAGCUAGUUGGUAGGGUAAAAGCCUACCAAGGCGACGAUCCAUAGCUGGUCUGAGAGGAUGAUCAGCCACACUGGGACUGAGACACGGCCCAGACUCCUACGGGAGGCAGCAGUGGGGAAUAUUGGACAAUGGGCGGAGUCCUGAUGCAGCAAUGCCGCGUGAGUGAUGAAGGCCUUAGGGUUGUAAAGCUCUUUUACCCGGGAUGAUAAUGACAGUACCGGGAGAAUAAGCUCCGGCUAACUCCGUG
rnacentral:rRNA from 1 species